rnacentral:rRNA from 1 species
AAACUAACAAGGAUUCCCCUAGUAACGGCGAGUGAAGCGGGAUGAGCUCAAAUUUGAAAGCUGGCGCCUUCGGCGUCCGCGUUGUAAUCUCGAGAGGUGUUUUCCGCGCCGGACCAGGUACAAGUCCCUUGGAACAGGGCGUCGAAGAGGGUGAGAAUCCCGUACUUGACCUGGACGCCCGGUGCUUUGCGAUACGCCCUCAACGAGUCGAGUUGUUUGGGAAUGCAGCUCAAAACGGGUGGUAAAUUCCAUCUAAAGCUAAAUAUUGGGGAGAGACCGAUAGCGAACAAGUACCGUGAGGGAAAGAUGAAAAGCACUUUGGAAAGAGAGUUAAACAGUACGUGAAAUUGUUGAAAGGGAAGGGCAUGAAGUCAGACAUGCCCGCCGGGACUCAGCCUUGCCCUCGGGCUCGGUGCACUUCCUGGCGGGCAGGCCAGCGUCGGUUUCGGCCGUCGGAUAAGGGGCGGGGGAAUGUGGCACCCUCGGGUGUGUUAUAGCCCCCUCCUGGAUACGGCGGAUGGGACCGAGGAACGCAGCUCGCCCCUCGUGGGCAGGCCCUAAUGGCCCCUCUCAAACUUUAGAUGCUGGGAGAUAAUGGAUUUUAUGCCUGCGC